CUGUUUGGUAUUUUCAAAUCUGUUCCGUUAUGAUCGAUAUAUGCGUUUAACUUAAUUGAUAGUACAUAUUGACGAUCCUUCAUUAAAAAAAAUAGGCACGUGCACGUAAACACUGAUAUUACUAUAUAAUUACACGUACUAUCCUUUUGCGGCUAGAAAGACAUCAACCAUCAAUCUUUUGAUUCUUAAACCUUCACCCUAGCCACACAAACACAUACACACAUAGUCGAUGUCUAAUGCAAAAGUUCUGUUCUGUUCAUACUAACGUAACAAAAUUCAAGAAAUUCGUAUUUCUUUAUAUCCCGCUCUACUGUAAAAUCCCUACCGGCUUAGGAAUUUGAGUAAUUGUGGUCAUUACACGUAGAUCUGAGAGUACUCAAAACUACUGGAAGCCAGUUGAUAGAUUGAUUUUUAAACAUCCAGUGUAAAAUAUUUAUGCAAGUUUAAAACAAAAAAAAAAAAAAUUGAUUAUUUACAAUAAACACAACAGGAGCUUAGUCCUGUAAUAGGUGUUGUACAGGACGAAGGUCUGGAAAUUUGAAAAUGCCAUGCAUUGGAAAAUGAGGGAUUAUUACCGAUAGGAG
rnacentral:lncRNA from 1 species